GGGGACAUAGCUCAGGGGUCAAGCAUUUGACUGCAGAUCAAGAGGUCCCUGGUUUAAAUCCGGGUGCCCCCU
rnacentral:tRNA from 1 species